UACGUAGGGUGCAGGCGUUAAUCGGAAUUACUGGGCGUAAAGCGUGCGCAGGCGGUUUUCUAAGUCAGAUGUGAAAUCCCCGGGCUUAACCUGGGAACUGCGUUUGAAACUGGGAGGCUAGAGUGAGGCAGAGGGGGGUGGAAUUCCACGUGUAGCAGUGAAAUGCGUAGAUAUGUGGAGGAACACCGAUGGCGAAGGCAGCCCCCUGGGCCUGCGCUGACGAUCAUGCACGAAAGCGUGGGGAGCAAACAGG
rnacentral:rRNA from 1 species